rnacentral:rRNA from 1 species
GGAUAACGUUUGGAAACGAACGCUAAUACCGCAUGAUAUUAUUGGGCAGCAUUGCCUGAUAAUCAAAGGAGCAAUCCGCUGAAAGAUGGGCUCGCGUCCGAUUAGGUAGUUGGCGGGGUAACGGCCCACCAAGCCGACGAUCGGUAGCCGGACUGAGAGGUUGAACGGCCACAUUGGGACUGAGACACGGCCCAGACUCCUACGGGAGGCAGCAGUGAGGGAUAUUGGUCAAUGGGGGAAACCCUGAACCAGCAACGCCGCGUGAGGGAAGACGGUUUUCGGAUUGUAAACCUCUGUCCUCUGUGAAGAUGAUGACGGUAGCAGAGGAGGAAGCUCCGGCUAACUACGUGCCAGCAGCCGCGGUAAUACGUAGGGAGCAAGCGUUGUCCGGAUUUACUGGGUGUAAAGGGUGCGUAGGCGGCUUUGCAAGUCAGAAGUGAAAUCUAUGGGCUUAACCCAUAAACUGCUUUUGAAACUGCAGGGCUUGAGUGAAGUAGAGGUAGGCGGAAUUCCCGGUGUAGCGGUGAAAUGCGUAGAGAUCGGGAGGAACACCAGUGGCGAAGGCGGCCUACUGGGCUUUAACUGACGCUGAGGCACGAAAGCGUGGGUAGCAAACAGGAUUAGAUACCCUGGUAGUCCACGCUGUAAACGAUGAUUACUAGGUGUGGGUGGACUGACCCCAUCCGUGCCGGA